rnacentral:piRNA from 1 species
UGAGGUGUUUCUCCUGCAGAUUCUGAGGGU